UGUAAACGAUUUUGUAAAAAGUUUCUUUAAAGAAAAAGAACAACUCUGGUCAUCUAAUCAGACUUCCUUGCACAUAAAGGAUUUUCUAUCUGCAAUAAACAAACUGGGAUACACACACACACACACACACACGCACACACACACACACACACACACACACACACAUAUUAUAUGCAAGAAGAAACUUGUAGACCAGCAUUUAUCUGUCCCUGCAGUUGGCAUAAAACAGCUGGCCAGAGUUGCAAGUAAACGAGUGUGCGAUUUUAAAAUAAUUUGGAAAAACGGAGCUCAGCUUGAAAUUUCU
rnacentral:lncRNA from 1 species